GCCACCGUAGCUCAGUGGUUAGAGCACUGGUCUCGUAAACCAGGGGUCGUGAGUUCAAUCCUCACUGGUGGCU
rnacentral:tRNA from 2 species